rnacentral:rRNA from 1 species
UACGUAGGGUGCGAGCGUUAAUCGGAAUUACUGGGCGUAAAGCGUGCGCAGGCGGUGAGCUGUGUCCGAUGUGAAAAGCCCCCGGGGCUUAACCUGGGAAUGGCAUUGGAAACUGGCUCGCUGGAGUGUGGCAGAGGGGGGUGGAAUUCCACGUGUAGCAGUGAAAUGCGUAGAGAUGUGGAGGAAUACCGAUGGCGAAGGCAGCCCCCUGGGAUAACGACUGACGCUCAUGCACGAAAGCGUGGGGAGCAAACAGG